UACGUAGGGUGCGAGCGUUAAUCGGAAUUACUGGGCGUAAAGCGUGUGUAGGCGGUCUCAUAAGUCGGAUGUGAAAGCCCCGGGCUCAACCCGGGAAGUGCAUUCGAAACUGCGAGGCUAGAGUAUCGGAGAGGUUGGUGGAAUUCUCGGUGUAGAGGUGAAAUUCGUAGAUAUCGAGAGGAACACCGGUGGCGAAGGCGGCCAACUGGACGAAUACUGACGCUGAGACACGAAAGCGUGGGGAGCAAACAGG
rnacentral:rRNA from 1 species